GUGUCAGCCGCCGCGGUAAUACGUAGGCAGCGAGCGUUGUUCGGAAUUACUGGGCGUAAAGAGUGUGUAGGCGGUGCUCUAAGUCUGUUGUGAAAUCUCCCGGCUCAACUGGGAGGGUGCGGCGGAAACUGGAGUGCUCGAGUGUGGGAGAGGUAAGCGGAAUUCCUGGUGUAGCGGUGAAAUGCGUAGAUAUCAGGAGGAACACCUGUGGUGUAGACAGCUUACUGGACCACGACUGACGCUGAGACACGAAAGCGUGGGUAGCAAACAGGAUUAGAAACCCCCGUAGUCC
rnacentral:rRNA from 1 species